UCGCAUCCCUCCUCCUUCUUGCUGUCGGGCUCCUUCCCCAUGACCGGGCUGGUGGCGGCUCCGCCGUGGCCGCCUCUUCCUCCUCCUCCUCCUCGGUGGGCUUCGCUGGCCCGCUCGGCUAGAGACGCCGCGGAGGCAGGUGCCGGAGCCGGGAGUUGAGCGCCCAGGCUUCGGCGCCAACGGCAGAAAAGGGGGCUCGCUGGCUGGCUGGCUGGCUGUCUCCGCUUGCAGCUGUUGCCGCUCGAGCGAAGGAGCGCGUGUGCGGGGGUACCGCGCGGUGGUGACGCCGAGUCCGUCACUCUGCGGCUCUCCGGUCCGUCCUCCUCCCUCUCUUGCGGCUCCUGUUGCUGCUGCUGCUCUCGGCGGCGUCUGUUCUCGUUCUGCGGCUUCCUCGAGGCACAGGCAGAGAGGUGGAGCGACUGUGGAGAGAGAGCCGCCUUGUGCGCGCGUGGGGAUAUGUGUGUGUGCGCGCGCACUAGCUCCUUGGCACGCAAGACGACCCCCACCGCCGCCGCCGCCGCGCGCAAGGUUGCCUGGCAGGAGCUGUCCUUUGGACAGCGCUGGCGCGCGCGCUCGGAUCCCCGCUCUCUCUCUCCCUCUCCCCCCCGCCCCCGCCUCACUUUGGCGCGGAUGCUCGUGGGGAGGGGCGCCCGUUGGGAGCACGACUCGCCCGCGUUCCUUCCGCGUGUUUGCUGUUGGCUUAGGUGAAGGGAGGGGAUCGCGGAGGCAGCAGGGAUUCUCUCAGACGCUCUCCAGAGAAGGAUGUGCAACCUGAGACUGCUCGCAUAAGUGACUCCUUGUCUCUAGGGGCUGAUGGAGGUAGAAACAGGUACCGUAGUUAAGGUUCUGUUAAGUUUUCUCCAUCGUCUUUUCUGUUCUGCUGUGUUGUUUCCUUAUGUGAGCCAGUCAACAAAGUCAGCAUAGUGGACACUUUGGUUGGAAGUGCCCACACUUUCUUGGGAUCCACUGUACAGAGGAAGUAACAAGCUGAUGGUAUUAUAAUGACUUUGAGAAAGUUGACUUAGAUAAAAAUCAAGCAAAUAAUAGUCGGGAUCUCAUGUUCAGAAAUACUCAAAGAGAAAGGAGUUAAUGGUAGGUGAGAGUUCCUUAAAGAUGAAACACUAAAGUCAUAAUCACAAACAAUUUGUAUGAGAAAGAAAAGUGAAAAAAUGACUGCAGAAAGCAGAGUGGGCACAUAAAGAACUUUAGGAUGAGCUGAGAAGAGAGGUGUACAAAAUGGAAGGGGUGAAAACAUUAUACAAGAGUACAAAGGAAUAGCCAAUAUUUGCAGGGAGAAGGUCAAGAGAACUAAAGGUCAGAAUGAGCUCAGACGUAUGAGAUAGGUUAACAAGAGAAAAUUUCCUACCUCUGUUUGGAGCCAGAGGAAGAACAAGGAAUCGUAGGUCUCCUGGGAGGAAAAGAUGGGAUACUGUUAAUGGAUGACAUAGAAAAGGCAGAGCUGCUUAGCCUGCAUUGCUCCCAACUUCUCCUGAAAGGAAAACAGUGCUCAGCCUGGUGAAAACAGAAUCAGUGAUGCAGAGGAGGUGGCUGCAGCCCAAGAUAAGUAGAGAGGUAGUGCAGGAAUGCCUAGCUAAUUUAGAUAAAUUCAAGUCCCCAAGGCCAGAUGAACUGCAUCCAACAGUACUAAAAUAACUUGCCGAUGUAAUGUCAGCUCAACGUCUCACGCCUACAAUCUCUGGGAAUUUUUGGAGAACAAGCAUGCUGCCUGAAGACUGGAGGUGGGCAAAUAAUACUGAUCUUCAAAAAGGGCAGAAAAAAAGAAAUACCAUCCAGUUAGCUUGACAUCGAUAUAAGGAAAAGUUCUAGAACAGACAAUAAAAACAAUUGUUCCAGUAGCA
ensembl:lncRNA